UGAUGUUGAUGCUAUUCCUUUCUGUUUGUUAGUUUUCCUUCUAACAGUUAGGUCCCUCAGCUGCAAGUCUGUUGGAGUUUGCAGGAGGUCCACUCCAGACCCUGUUUGCCUGGGUAUCACCAGUAGAGGCUGCAGAGCAGCAAAUAUUGCAGAACAGCAAAUAUUGCUGCUUGAUCCUUCCUCUGGAAUCUUCGUCUCAGAGGGGCACCCGGCUGUAUGAGGUGUCAUUCGGCCCCUACUGGGAGAUGUCUCCCAGUUAGGCUACACGGGGGUCAGGGACCCACUUGAGGAGGCAGUCUGUCCAUUCUUAGAGCUCAAACACCGUGCUGGGAGAACCACUGCUCUCUUCAGAGCUGUCAGACAGGGACGUUUAAGUCUGCAGAAGUUUCUGCUGCCUUUUGUUCAGCUAUGCCCUGCGCACAGAGGUGGCGUCUACAGAGGCAGGUGGGCUCCACCCAGUUCGAGCUUCCUGGCCGCUUUGUUUACCUACUGAAGCCUCAGCAAUGAUGGACGCCCCUCCCCUAGCCAGGGCUGCUGCCUAACAGUUCGAUCUGGGACUGCUACGCUAGCAGUGAGCAAGGUUCCAUGGGCGUGGGACCUGCUGAGCCAGGCCCGGGAUAUAAUCUCCUGGUGUGCUGUUUGCUGUGACCAUUGGAAAGACGCAGUAUUUAGGUGGCAGUGUCCCGGUUUUCCUGGUAGUCUGUCACAGCUUCCCUUGGCUAGGAAAGGGAAAUCCCUGGACCACUUGCGCUUCCCGGGUGAGGCGAUGCCCUGCCCUGCUCCAUGGGCAGCACCCACUGUCCAACCAGUCCCAGUGAGAUGAACCAGGUACCUCAGUUGGAAAUGCAGAAAUCACCUGUCUUCUGUGUCAGUCACGCUGGCAGCUGCAUCUUGGAACGGAAUCCUAUUCAAAUGACUGCUGUAAUUUUAAUUUAAUUGAGGAAGCUACCUUUUAAAAUCUUUCCUGUCUUCUAAUCAAAGCUGUAUUUUUCAGGUUUUUGUAUUAUCUAGACCAUUACCUGUGUAUUGGGGUUAAUCUGAUUUUGAAGCUAAAACAGUAUAUAAUACUUUUAGAUGUUUCCUGAAUACAUACACAUUUAUAGACAUUUUGUACAUACAUGUACAAAUAGGCAUUUCCUAAACGAUGUGCCCAUGUGUUACUAGUUCUGUAGGAGAUAGAAAAGGUUUUACUCCAAAAAGGAUGCCAAAUGGCAGAACUGGAUUAAGGAAAGGCACCAAAAGUGUUUUUGCAUCUUUGUGAAUGUUGCAGUCUUUAAUGCACUGCCAUGCAUUAUGAAUCUCCCAAGAGAAAUGGAGGGUGUGGUGUUCCCAAAUGUAUUUAACCAUGGAACACUUCUACCUCGGCUAUAGAACGGUAUUCAGUUCCACACACAGCACUGCAAAACUUUGCCAUAUUUAUUAAACAAGUGUUUUUUGACACAGUCUCUGCCUGGAAGGUAGUCAAAUCAUUACCAUAGGACUAUGACCACUGUCACGUGGGUGUUUGUGUAUGUGUCACACAGUGGCCAGUGUUCAUGCAGUGUCGUUGCUGGUCCAGGUACUGUGUAUUACACAUCAUCUUGGUGCUCACCAGCAGCACUGCCAAGUAGGUGUUUUAGGGAGGCACCUUCUUGUCACAGUCAUUCAGCGAGCAGUGGCAGGGUAGAGGCUGCCUCUCAGCUCCUUCCGGAAUCUGCAUGAUACCCCCGUCCACGUGUACCUCUCUCUAGGUGCGUGCACACCUGUGCUCAUCCAGACAUGGGUGCAUUGUGUUCACACGUCGGCGGCACCUGUUCUGUGUGUACAUAACUCCACCUGGAAGAACAGAGGACCCCAUUGUGACCUGUCUUUAGCUAUCCUCUUAAGUUCUUGCAUGCUCUGGCAUAAUUAUGGAGGCCACAGUUCAUUGGCCCUUUCAAGUAGAAGGAAUAGUUCUUGACCAUAAAAAGUCAAACUAGAAAGCCAGUAAUGUCCAACUUCCAGAGUAGAUCGUCUGCCUUGGAGCAGAAGAGGUGUGUGCUGAGUUUUAUGUCUGGUAAAUAAUAUUAAAGGCCAAACUUGGGCCCUGCAGCUCCGUCACUCCACCUGCAUUUGCCAGGUACUGCUCUGGGCUCUGGGGACACCGCAGUAAACAAACAAUAUCCUGGCCUUUAUGGGAGCCAUCUUCCACUCAGGGGAAGCAUUGGAUAAACAGGUUUCGUUGAGUGCCCUAAUCAGGGUACUGUGUUAGAGUAGGAGGGAGGAAGGCAGAAGGAAGGAUGCCACCUUGAAUAGCAUGGUCACAGAAGGCCUGUCUGAGGAGGAGCAAUUUGAGUGGGACCUUGAAGGUGAGAAGGAGCCAAGGGGGCAGAGCUGGGAGGACAUUCCAGGGAGAGGGAAUCCCAAGUGCAGUCCUUAAGGUGAGGAAGCCAGCAGGAGGUGGCGUGUCUCUAGAUGAGGUCAGGGAGGUGGGCAGGACUCAGGCACAGAAGGCUCUGAAUAGGCCAUGGCGUUCUUUAUUUUAAUCUCAAGAACAGUGGGAAGGAGGGAUCUUUAAAUGGGGAGCAACGUGUUUGGUUUGUGUUUUUAAAGCUCUCUGGAGAAGGAAUUACAGGCAGAAAAGGGUAGGGCAAGUGGCUGGAGGGGAGACCCCCCAUGAUUUAGAGGCCAGCAAGGAGGAGAGGACAGGCCAAUAGCUAGGAGGAAAUCCAGGAGAGGAUGUGUUACCAAAACGAAAAGAGGAGCUUCUCCAGGAGGAGGAAGUGUGGACCCUUUGCUCAGGGCAACGGAACUAUCAAGGAGGGUGAGAAGAGAUGUGUCCCUCCAUCCUUAGUUAAAUGAGUCUGGGGUGCCAAGAAUUUUCAUGCAUGUUUAUUAAUCUCAAUAACAAUCCUGUUUUUUUGCCCUCAAAAUGUGUUCAAGAUAUUUGUAGAUGUCAUCUUUUUAAUCCUUGUAGUAUCCUGUUUGACUAAGUGUCAUCUUGGAAGUUAAGUAAGUUGUUAAGGGUCAGCUCACUAGGAAGUGGUGAUACCAGAAUAUGAACCAGUUUCCCGAAGCCCAGAGCCUGAAGCCAUGCGAAAGCCAGCAGGGUGACUCCUCCCGCUGCAGGUGAGUGGGCUGUGUUUCACCCGGUUUCUCCUUUUCUAGGUUACGGCCUCCGCUGCCACAGGGCCAUCAUCACCAUCUGCCGGCUCAUUGGCAUCAAAGACAUGUAUGCCAAGGUCUCUGGGUCCACUAAUAUGCUCAGCCUCACCCAGGGCCUCUUCCAUGGGCUCUCCAGACAGGAAACCCAUCAACAGCUGGCUGAUAAGAAGGGCCUCCAUGUUGUGGAAAUCCGAGAGGAAUGUGGCCCUCUGCCCAUUGUGGUUGCCUCCCCCCGGGGGGCCUUGAGGAAGGAUCCAGAGCCAGAUGAGGUUCCAGACAUCAAACUGGACUGGGAAGACGUGAAGACUGCACAGGGAAUGAAGCGCUGUGUGUGGUCUAAUUUAAAGAGAGCCGCCACGUAACCUCUCUGGCCUUGUGCAGCCAGUUCCUGUGCUGCCUUGCACCUAGGAGAGACUCAACCCCUCACAGCUUGGGGUGUUGUCUUGCCUUUUGUUUGUUUUGAGGAAAGUUUAAUCUUUAAACUCUUUAGAAAUAAAUAAUUAUAGCUUUC
rnacentral:sRNA from 1 species